AUUUGAAAACAAGAAGAAGCCUACAGUUCCCCUCGAAGCAGCCGCAGGUGCUCACUGGCUCACUGACAGCGAGGAGGUGAUGCAAUGGGCGCAGUCAUUCCUCACUGCCAUCGGCGUGUGCAGCUUGGGGAAGCACCACAGCACCGGGCGUGGCUCAGUUGACCAGCUGAAGGUUCCAGAUCAUGGAGGCAGAGAGGAGAAGCUGGCGACAGAGGGCAAGGCGGGAUCUGUGGAGGCUCUUCCUCUGCCACUGUGGAACCCUGAGCCAGCCCCCUGCCUCGGGCCUGUCUAUAUUCCCACAGAGAUGUGGAGAGCUGUUAUGUGUAGCUAGAUGGGUUCUAACGUGUCUCCCAGGGCUGGUAUUUGGAAGAAAUAAUAAAGAGGAAAAAGACAUUGCUGAUGGAUCCCAGUGGAUCAUGCCUGAGGUUUGGGAGCAGCCCCGGUCUUCCUUAUUGAGUCUGUGUGAUCUAAGUUUCCCCUCCUGUGACCUGCAGCUUCCUCCCACAGAGCUUUGCAAACUGUUUUGGCAUUAGGAUCCUUCUGGGAAAUAGCACCUUACUCAAGACCCCAAAAUAUGACACAGAUUAAAAAGGAGGCAUGUCGUUCUGGGUGGGACGUGGGCUGCCCUACCUGACACCCUGCCUGUUGGGGCUCCCAUUUCCACCCUCUCCACCCCGAACUCUGAAAACCCCUGUGCGACAGGGAACUGGCUUUGUCUUGUCUCCUCACAGCCUGACAGCCACAACUCUAUUAUACAGUAAGACCCCCGAGGCUAGGGACUAAGUCCUGUCUUUUUAUCUCCAGCUCCUAGCAGCAUUCCUAACCCAAGGCAGCCACACAGUGUUUGUUGAGUGAAUGAAUGACCUGGGAACUAGUCGCUAGAAUAAUGCUACAUAACAGACAACCCCAGAAAUCUCAAUGACCUACAGCAACAAAGAUCAACAUUUUUUCUUCUUAAUGGGUACAGAUCAGCAGAGGCUGGGCUCCAUGUGUAAUUUCAGGGCUCAUGGCCACACCCAGCAUUGACGCGGAGCAGGGAAAAA
rnacentral:lncRNA from 1 species